GGUGAAAAUAACAAAAGCCGGUGUUUUUGGGAUCGGGGCAGCUUCUCUAGGGGACGUGUUGUGUUGCAAAAACGCAAAAGUGGUUGUGUUGUGCGUUUUCUUUCCGAACGCGGUUCUGGAGCAGCAGUCAUGCGUUUACGUUUCCCGUACGAAGUUCACUGUCCCGGGAAUGCUAUGCCAACGGUUGUGUUUACGAACGCCCUGUGGACAGUUACACCUAGUGUAACACACCGAAUGAUUAAUCAAAUCCCCAGCUAGAGAUGGCCGUAGAUUGAUGCACUGUCACCUUCAACAUCAAUACAAAACGGAAAACCUUCCUGGUUCCUCAUCCGGGGAAACUAUUUGGCAGCAGCGAACGUGUCUCCGCUACCCAAAGAUGUUUAACGCAGCAAGUAAACAAAUAACAACAACCCCACACAGGGGAGAAUAUUAACUUGUUGCAACACGGCCGUGGAUGGGCCGCCAAAUCUGGAUGAUGUCAUUUGGAGGAUAUCUAUCUGCUCCGGUUCAAACACACACCUAUGUGCGAGUGUUGGUUCCGAAACGAUGCCGAUUAGACCACAUUCUACCCAGCAAGUUUGUAGAUGCGCCACACGAAUUUGUAGCAGUCCGUUGUAUGCCGAUGAUUAAAAUUAGUAUAUGAUCGUGCUCUAUCUAGCAACGAAUGGCGCAAUAGGUCAAAUCGUUCGUCCAGCGUUGACGUCACUCAUCCGGUUUGUGUAGGGGUUGUAAAUGGAAAAUCUACCCCUUAUGGCCUUCCGCUGACGCUGACCUGCUGUGGAAAAUGCCCCUGAGAUAUUUUCGUUCGCAAAACAUCACUGUCAGAUCAUUUGCUUCAGGCGAUGGGAGAUUGAUCUCUAAAGUAAUUCCAGUGUUGGGCGCGAUUGUAAAGCAGACGAUCUAUUUUAAAGCUGCGAGAAAUUCGAUGCACGUUAUAAAUGUCAUUAUAAAUUUCCAGAAAAUGGUUAUGACUCUUGACACACACAUCGUCCCCGGCAAGUUUAUACCGCUCGUGUGUUUAUUUUGUUUCGCGUUGCUGUAAUCCUUAAAUGUUUAUUGUUCGAGAUAAAUCACGUAUUUACAGGGUUUUACAAUAGAUAUAGGAUAUGACGUGUCCAACUUACAGAAUCACACAAAGGAAUUAGGAAAACGGAAAGAUUAAUCGUGAAACGCAAUGCACAAUUUAGUAAAUGGAAUUUUGGCUGUCGGUUUACAUAUCGGUGGCUUCAAGAAUUAGGUUGUGAAAUGUAAUUUUUGAGGAUUAAAUUAGUUAGAAACUAAGCAGAGGUAUUUGUUGGUGUCAGGCAUGGUUUUUAAUUCCUAUUCUGUUUACAAUGUUGUAAAAUAUUGUAUCUCCACUGUUAUGCGGAAAGUUGGGCUCGCGAUAUCGUAUCAAUUGUAAACCCCUGUAAACCCAACCACACCCUCUCUAACCGUAAUCGAAAAUGGUCCUUAACCUCGGCAAAGGGGAGAAAAAAACAACAACCACGGACCACUUCCUAACGGAAAGAUGUUGUUUUUUUUCCCUUUUGGAAUUACGAUGGGCGUUUGUGAUUG